rnacentral:lncRNA from 1 species
AGUUUCCACAGUCUAUCACUACUACUAACGAUGGAAUAUCCGUCCUCUUCUCUUUAUUCUAGCUCAAGCAGAAAAUCUCUGAUCUGACUGGCAAUAUAUACCUGAAUGAGGCAGAGUUACAAUACUGUCACUCACAAGUUGCUCGCUACAGGACCGAAGCGGUUGUAUUGGCCCAGGGGGCUUCCAGUCUGAAGGCUGAUCUAGAGGAAUGCGAGUAUCAGCUGGAGUGUCAAUCAAAGGAACUGACAGCACUGAGACUGGAGCACAGCUCACUGAGAGAGGAGCUGACGGCCGCAAACCUCCAGAACGAGCAGCUCCUCGACCGCUGGUUAGAGGAGAAGAAAGAGGAGGCGGAGAGGAUUAAUAAAUAUAAUGCAACACAAGAAAGAUGGCAACGUUUGGCAGGUCGACUGAAGAAGCGGUAUCGAGUGAGAUCUCGCGCAGCCGACAGACAGACAGAAUCCAAAACUUAGCGACCUCCUUCUUAUGACUUGAUUAUCUUAUGUUUUUGCCAAUUUUUCUAUGCUUUUGGAGCUUAUUUUCACACACACACACACACACGAUAGUAAGUACACCUGAGAGCAAACGCACUGGAUUUUCUUCCUGUUAAUAUUCUUGGCAUCCAUAUUUAAUAACACAGAGACACAGCCAUGUUCUAUUUCUGUUAUUUUAUUUUAAAAAAUUAAAUAAAAAUUCCGUUUUAAAAUAAAAAUAAGAUGGCAAACAGUGAAUCCUGUAGGUAUGAAAAUUGUAAUAACACAACUACUUUCCUUUCUCCUGAGGGAUGUUAAAUCUCUAUACAUUUACUUAAAAAAACAAAAACAAUGCAGCAGUCCAACGAAUUAAAAGCAGCAAUUUCAUAUAUUUACAUUCUGCAGUAAAACAAUAUGUGCUCAAUCACAUAUGAUCCUCACAGCAGCACUGAGAAACAUGCACAGCCCAUCAAUGAAACCAUCCAUCUGUCCAUACUGUACAUAGAUCACAUGACCGUCUCUGUAAAGUAAUAAAUAUGGAGCAAAUUUCACCAUCUUUACAAAUUGGCUUGCCG